rnacentral:rRNA from 1 species
GAUGAACGCUGGCGGCGUGCCUAAUACAUGCAAGUCGAGCGAACAGACGAGGAGCUUGCUCCUCUGACGUUAGCGGCGGACGGGUGAGUAACACGUGGAUAACCUACCUAUAAGACUGGGAUAACUUCGGGAAACCGGAGCUAAUACCGGAUAAUAUAUUGAACCGCAUGGUUCAAUAGUGAAAGACGGUUUUGCUGUCACUUAUAGAUGGAUCCGCGCCGCAUUAGCUAGUUGGUAAGGUAACGGCUUACCAAGGCAACGAUGUGUAGCCGACCUAAGAGGAUGAUCGGCAGCUGGGAUCAGAGGCUGCGCCCCCACACCCGGCGGGAGCCACCGCCCGGAAUCCUACGGGAGGGGGCAGAGGCGUAUCGGGCGCACUCGGCGAAAGUCUGAAGGGUCUUCGGCUCGUGAAUGAUGGUUGUCUGGGAAUAGCAAAUUUGUAUGUACGGAGACCCUUAUGACGGUACCCGAAGCAGAAGCCCCGGCUAACUUCGUU